CUCCUCUACUGUCAUAUAUUCUCCCUGGCUCUUGACGUGAACACAAGCCCAGUCUCGAGAUCCAACAUAUGUUAGCUUGUUUUGUAUCCAUGGCUAGAACCUGCAGAGUAAAGUUCUAUGACAGGUGGCAUGUGAGGAUCACGGUGCAGACCCAAUGAGCCCAGAAAUGCAGCCCAGUGGACAGAAUGCAGCUUCCUUCCCCUGCUUUCCAGAGCUCAUCAAAUGGUGCCGUCAUGCCAGCAUUGAUUGUGAACAGAUUUCAGGUACUUCACCUCCAUGACCCCCUCGGAUCAGUGUGACAAUCACUAUUCCCGUUGGAGAGAUAACGGGACUCACAGGGAUAGCAGGAUUUUCUCCAAUAGAGCAGCUAUCGCUUAGUCAACCCUGUUAAUUUAGAAAUAAACUCUUCUUGCUCUCUCCUUCAACACAGAUUUGUCACCUGUGUUCUUUUACAUAGAUCACAGGCUUAAUCGGAUUCUCCAAUAACAUUAAAAAGGAAAGAAAAUAUGUAGUGAUGCAUAUGGGGAAUUUGCAGAAUGUUAAUCCAUUCUCAUACAUUCAGCUCAUCACCCCAGUCAUAGGUAAGAAAGAACAUAUACACCUGUAUUUAUAUGCUCAAAACACUACACUUUCUUUUAAAAUGAAUAAAAAAAUUUUAGACCUUUGUAAGCUUGAAUAUUACAUGUGCAUUAAAGAGAUAAUACUACGGGGUGCCUGGGUAGCUCAGUCAUUUACAUGUCAGACUUUUGAUCUCAGCACAGGUCUUGAUGUCGGUGUCAUGAGUUCAAGCCCGGCAUUGCGCUCCAUGCUGGGCAUGGAACCUACUUUUAAAAAGAGAGGGAGAGAGAGAGAAUACUAGGAACCUAACCCCCAAAUGGAAACAUAUAUCCAGACAAGACUUGAAUGUGAAUAUUAUUCACAGUAGCACAAAAGUGAAAAUGACCCAAGUGGUCAUCAGUGGGCAAAUGAAUGAAGGAAAUGGUAUAUUCAUAUAUGGAAUGCUAUUCAGUAAUGGAAAGGAAUGCAGUACCAAUCCAAAGCAUGGGGAAAUCUGAAAGGGAUUAUGUUAAGUGAGAGAAGUUGGUCACAAAAGUUACACACAUUACAACUCCAUUUAUAUGAAAUACCCAGAGAAGGCAUAGGGAAAGAAAGUAGAUCAGUGGUUGUGGGGUUGUGGGGUGAGAAUGCAGAGUACAUACAAGGAGACACAUGCUUUCUUUGGAGGAUGACUUAAAUGUUCUAAAAUUAGACAGGUGGUGGUUGC